GGUCGAUUAGCUCAGCUGGUUAGAGCGGUAAGAUUCAUCUACAGCAUCACAUCAAUCCACAUACUAAUUUCUCUAUCAGUGGUGCUAAUAUCUGUACGAUUACGCCAAGGCCGUGGGUUCGAUCCCCACAUUGACCA